AGAAUCAACGCUGGCGGCGUGCCUAACACAUGCAAGUCGAACGAGAAAGUGGAGCAAUCCAUGAGUAAAGUGGCGCACGGGUGAGUAACACGUAACUAACCUACCCUUGAGUGGGGGAUAACCUAGGGAAACCUGGGCUAAUACCGCAUAAUACCUUCGGGUCAAAGGAGCAAUUCGCUUAAGGAGGGGGUCGCGGCCGAUUAGUUAGUUGGCGGGGUAAUGGCCCACCAAGACUGUGAUCGGUAUCC
rnacentral:rRNA from 1 species